GUAUGCAAAGACGACACGAGAGUUACCGAGGCUCUUCUGGGAGCCGGAGUGGACCAGAAAACGUCUCCCCGAGCGUGAGUCCUCUAUGAAGAGCAGCCUUUCCUUAUCGCCAGCGGUCACGGUCGCUACAGAGCGCUGGCCUUAAAACUGCAGAGGCGGGAGGCGCUGUCACUCUGAUGGUAAAAACACAGCUGCGAUCCCAGCCACCAUGGAUGAGUUGGAGGCCCCCGGGAGAAUCGUGGGGGCGCGGGAGAUGCCGUCGGUGAGUCCGGGAACUAUCGCCUGGAUGCCGAAGCUCCUGGUAGCCAGGAGAAUGUGACCCGCUUCUUCUGCGAGUGAGCGGUAAUCCUUCGCAGCCAGCAGCGGGGAGUUGGUGAGGCCAGGUUGCACCGGCAUCUGUCGGAGGAAGACGUGAGUGAAGAGGAAUCCGCCGUCAUCCGUUCCUCGCAAGGACAGCGUGCUCUCCAUGAGCUCGAGAGCGGCACCAUCACCCAGGCCCGAGAGAGAGGAGUUUCUCGGCCGCUCUGCAUCGGAGAGGGAGUAGCGGUGCAGCAGCUCUUUAAGAGCGGUGUAUUUCCCUUGGGUGGGGGGAUCCCGGAGGAGGGGCAUCACACGCCGGGUGGACAGCGGAUCCAUCAAGGCCACCACAUGAUGGUAUUGUGUCGUCGGCUGAAACGCCACGAAGAGCAAACUGACCUUCGACGUGCACGAACCGCGAAGGAGGGUCGUGAAGCCAAAAAUCCGGCAGUUUAACCGCCACAGCAAAAAUUCAAUCGUACAGCUCUGCUGUCACUUCCUAUGGAAGCCCGUUGCCGCCACUGAAAAUUUCGAUUUAUCUCUGUCGAAAUUAAGAGAAAAGUAACUCGAAAUUUUGACUUUUUCAGUUAAAAUUUUGAGAAAAGUAACUCGAAAAUUCGAGUGAGCGCCGCCAAUCAGUAAUCUACGUUAAUGACAUCAUUUCCUUGUUACCCGGAAGCUGAAGCCCUAAGCUACAAUUUUUUUUAAUUGCACAAAUAUAUCAUGUACAACAAAUAUGACAAUCUUUACAAAGAGUUUUUUUUUUUUUGUCAACUUGAAAUAGUACCAGAACAGGCCUGUUUCAACAUAUAUAGAAGACAGAGAAUGAACAGGAAAUCGAACCAACAACACCAACAAAAAAAAGCCACAAAUGCUACAGCUAAGCUACCAGUAUUACAGCCUGUCAUGAAUGCACAAAUUGCUGAUUACUUUCUGUGUGGCCUCACAAAUGAUGAAAUCCUUGUGUUAUUGACCCUGUGCACGAGAAAAUGCUAACUUCCUGGUUUGAGACCGGAUGUGGGGUUGUACAUUUCCGGUAGCUUUACUUUGCGGUCAAUCGCUACUGCGAAGAUAUACUCCAAAAUCAUGUCCAAAACUCGAAAACGGAAAGAUCGUGUUAAGUUACAAAGAGGAGAAGGUGGGAACACUCACCACUGUUGUGUCAUAAAAAAUCUAAUGAUCAAUUUUGACGUUUAAAGAGUUUAGAUCGAUCAGUUGUUUACAUCACUCAACACAAGCAGAACUGCAUUACUGCAUGCAGAAGACAUUUAAACAGGCAAAUGUUCAGCAUUCAAACUACAGGUGAACAAUAGUCAAACCAGAUGUUUCCCCAUUAUGUCGAUAUCAGCUAGUCAAGUACACACCUACACAGCAAAAAUUUCAAAAUUACAGUGGUCCCUCGCUAUAACGCAGUUCACCUUUCACCUCGCUGUUUCGCGGAUUUUUAGUGCAAGUUUGCAUGCUUUUUUUUUUUUUACAUCACAUUGUGUCCUGCCUCCUGAUCGGCUGCAGACGAUCUCCUCCGUGAUGUCUCUCCUGUACAGUACAGAAUCGCUGCAUCGAUCGCUAGCAGUGUGACUCUGAAGUGCAGUACUGUAUGUCCACGAUGUCCAUGCGUCAAAAAAUAAAACUGGCUACUUGAUUUCACCCAUCGCUGGUUAUUUUUAGAACAUAACACCCGCGAUAAACGAGGGACAGCUGAGAAAUAUAACAUUUGAAUCCCUUUUCUCUUUUGCUCUGAGGCGUGGGGGAAAAAUAUCGACAAGUCGAUGAACAUCAUUUACAGAUAUAUUGGGUAAAUGCCCAAGACAUCUAUAGAAAUGUAAAUCGCCGCUUGAUUCAUUCAUUUGCUUAACUUGUUUUGGACCUUAAACAAGGCGCGAAUAGGACACCGGAAACAAAGCUCCCCACAGGAGUUUCCGCACCGGAAGCAGCAUAUGCUAACGUGCACAUAGUCAAUUAGCUGAAUCACAUAGCGUUACUAUCAGCAAACGCACUCGAAAGCGCCGGUUGCGAUCCGGUUUUGACUGCGUAUUGCUCCCCGCCAUAUCCUUCUGGGUAACAAGAAAAUGACGUCAUUCACGUAGAUUACUGAUUGGCAGAGCUAACUCGAAAUUUCGAGUUACUUUUCUCAAAAUUUCGAGUUAAUAACUCGACAUUUUGGUAAAAUAACUCAAAAUGUCGAGUUAUGGAUCCUUUUUUUUUUUUGUGGCGGAAACGGGCUUCCAUAGAUGGGCUUCCAUACACGGGCUUCCAUACACUUCCAACAUAAAGUCAGGAGAACAACUGCAAUAUAAGAGGAGCUUGCAUCCACUAAGAGCAGCAGGAAGAAAGUCAGGAAACAAAUGCUCCGAAGGAAAAAGUGAAAAACCUCAAAGCAAACAGACACUCAAAGAAAGGAAGACGAAGAAGAGAAAGGAAAGGAGGCAAAACAAAAGAUGAGAGAAGAAAUUCACUGAAACAUCACUUGAUGAUUGCACAAAAACUCAGAUCUGCCAAACGGUACACCUUGCACAAAGCUUUGGACCUCAUUACAGCACCAGUUGAAGAUGGAGGUUUGGUCCACUCAUCCAGUCUGGGUUCUGCCAACUUCAUUGAAGGGAUAGAUCUUUGCCAUGAAAUAACACAAUGGAUAACUUCUUCCAUGUGCAGCAUUGAUGAUGUUGAAGAAGAAGAAGGAACUGGGGUCUCCAGCUCCACUGAGGCAGCCUGUAACCUGGAGGAAGGCAGAUGGAGAGGAAGUAUGGUAGCAGCCAAAGACAGAAGUGCCCUGAAGCAGUACAUAAAGAACAAGCCAACAAAGUGGCCAAUUUGAUGUAGACGUGCAAAAAUAUGAUCACAAGUGCUUUACAAUUAAUGGCACAAAGUGUGUUUGAAGGGAAUGAAUGAC
ensembl:lncRNA